AAAUUCUUGAUAAAUUGCGGAGUGGUAGUUUGAGCGGAUUCAUGGUUAUAUCCGUUUAACUAGUUAGAUUUCGAUCGAGCUAGGAGUACGAGUUGUAGGCUUUCGAGCCCGCGACGAGUCAACAAGUCCAUUCUGCCCAGAAAAGUUUAUUAGAUUAUGUUUUAUGCCGCCCGUACCGUAAACCAUUAAAGGUACUCAGGUCGAGUAGACCAAGGCGUACGAGAGAAUCUUGGUUAAGGAACUCGGCAAUAUAGCGACCGUAACUUCGGGAUAAGGUCUGCCUAGCGUAAAAACUAGGUUGCAACAAAAGAGUCCAGGCGACUGUUUAUUUAAAACACAGGUCUCUGCUAACACAAAAGUGGAUGUAUAGGGGCUGACGCCUGCCCAGUGCCGGAAGGUUAAGGGGAUAAGUUAACGCUUUGAACUGAAGCCCCGGUGAACGGCGGCCUUAACGAUUAGGGUCCUAAGGUAGCGAAAUUCCCUGUCGGGUAAGUUCCGACCCGCACGAAUGGCGUAACGAUCUGGACACUGUCUCAACCAAGAUCUCGGUGAAAGUGCAUUGGCGGUAAAGAUGCCGUCUGUCCGCACCAGGACGAAAAGACCCCGUGGAGCUUUACUACAAGUUUACAUUGAAUCGGGUUACAACAUGUGUAGAAUAGGUGGGAGCCUUCGAAGCAGAUGCGCCAGCAUUUGUGGAGGCAUCAGUGAAAUACCACCCUUGUUGUGAUCUUGUUCUUACCCUUACCGUUAUCCGGUAAGGGGACCGUGUAUGCUGGGUAGUUUAACUGGGGCGGUUGCCUCCCAAAGAGUAGCGGAGGCGUUCAAAGGUUGGCUAACUACGGAUGGAAAUCGUAGUAAUAGUGUAAACGCAUAAGCCAGCUUGACUGUGAGACUUACAAGUCAAACAGGGACGAAAGUCGGAGUUAGUUGUCCUCUGUUUUGUAAUUUAUUACAUUAGCGCGUGGUAGCGGCAGAGCUUACGGAUAAAAGUUACCCCGGGGAUAACAGGCUUAUAGCGCCCAAUAGUUCACAUUGACGGCGCUGUUUGGCAUCUCGAUGUCGGCUCAUCACAUCCUGGAGGAGGAGCCUCUUCCAAGGGUUCGGCUGUUCGCCGAUUAAAGUGGUACGCGAGCUGGGUUAAGAACCUCGUAAGACAGUUCGGUUUAUAUCCGGUGUGGACGAGUAGGAAUUGUGAGAGUAGCUGCCCCUAGUACGAGAGGACCGGGGUGGACGAACCUCUGGUGUGUCAGUUGUUGUACCAACAGCAUUGCUGAGUAGCUAAGUUCGGACCGGAUAAGUGCUGAAAGCAUAUUAAGCACGAAGCCGCACUCAAGAUUACAGUUCCCUAGGAGAUCCCUGAAAGACCAUCAGGUUGAUAGGUAUGCGGUGAAAGCAUGGCAACAUGUUGAGCCUACAUAUACUAGUAGAUCCAUUGAGCUA
rnacentral:rRNA from 1 species